AAUACUAUUCUGAUUCACUCCACCUCAUUUCGUCCUCCGCGCAGCACCGGGAGCUCGCUGUCUGAUACCGACCCGGUCCCGCACCGCCGGCGUCUCUUCCACGGCUUCUCCUUCGGCUGGAUCCGGGCCCGGUUCGGCGAGGCUGGUGUGGAUACCGGGGGCCGUGAUGACCGGCUCCGGGCCGCGGGAGCGCCCGUUAGAGCUGUGUGUGGUUAAUUACGGGCUGUGAGGAGCAGAGAGCCGCAACACCGCCGCCGUUCACCCCCGUCCCUCCCCGCAUCGCCUCCGCGGCCUGAAGCCCAACAUGUCCACCAGGACGCCGCUACCCACCGUGAACGAGCGGGACACGGAGAACCACACUUCCCUGGAUGGUUUUCCGGAGGCACCCGUACCUCCCGCCAAAUCGGUGAGCAGAACCAGCCUCCCGCGGUGCAGGAGCUCACUGAGCUCCAGCGUGGAUGAGCAUCCUCAUGUCGGCAGCUACCGCCUGCUUAAAACCAUCGGCAAGGGAAACUUCGCCAAAGUCAAGCUGGCUCGCCACGUCCUCACCGGACGAGAGGUGGCCGUCAAGAUAAUAGACAAAACACAGCUGAAUCCCACUAGUCUACAAAAGCUGUUUAGAGAAGUCCGAAUAAUGAAGAUCUUGAAUCAUCCUAAUAUAGUGAAGUUAUUUGAAGUUAUUGAAACAGAGAAGACACUUUAUUUAGUAAUGGAAUACGCCAGUGGAGGUGAAGUGUUCGACUAUUUGGUGGCUCACGGCAGGAUGAAGGAGAAGGAGGCCAGAGCGAAGUUUCGACAGAUAGUAUCUGCAGUGCAGUAUUGCCACCAGAAGAAGAUAGUACACAGGGAUCUUAAGGCUGAGAACUUGUUACUGGACGCUGAUAUGAACAUUAAGAUCGCAGAUUUCGGGUUCAGUAAUGAGUUUACUCUGGGCAGUAAGCUGGACACGUUCUGCGGGAGUCCUCCGUACGCCGCCCCCGAGCUGUUCCAGGGUAAGAAGUACGACGGGCCGGAGGUGGACGUGUGGAGUUUGGGGGUGAUUCUCUACACGCUGGUCAGCGGAUCUCUGCCUUUCGACGGACAGAACCUGAAGGAGCUGAGGGAGCGAGUGCUGAGAGGGAAGUACCGUAUACCGUUCUACAUGUCCACAGACUGUGAGAACCUGCUGAAGAGGCUGCUGGUGUUAAACCCUGUUAAACGAGGAAGUUUAGAGCAAAUCAUGAAGGAUAGAUGGAUGAACGUCGGGCAUGAGGAGGAGGAGCUGACGCCGUACUCGGAACCAGAGGCUGAUUUUAACGACACCAAGAGGAUCGAGCUGAUGGUGACGAUGGGAUUCCCGAAGGAUGACAUCACAGAGGCUCUUAUAGGACAGAAAUACGAUGAGGUCAUGGCUACAUAUCUCCUAUUGGGCAGGAAGCCUCCAGAGUUUGAAGGCAGUGAGUCUCUGUCCAAUAGCAACCUGUGCCCCAGGCCCCGCCCCACCAGCGACAUCAACAGCAGCUCCAGCCAAUCCCCAGCUCACUCCAAGGUGCAGCGCAGCAUAUCGGCCAAUCAGAAGCAGCAGCGGCGGUUCAGUGAUCAUGGUGGGGAUGACAUGCAACCAAUAGGUGCUGCUGUUCCUCCGUCAGUGAGCUGCAGUAAGAGGAGUGGAGGGAUGGAGGGAGAGCAGAAGGAGGAGUGGGAAGCGUCUCGUAAACUUCCUGCUUCCGGCUCCAAGACCGACGUCCCUGCGUCUCCUCUGACCUCACAGGAGAGGAAGAAACCGACCGCUGCAGCCGGAACUAAUGGAGGCAUGGCUCGCAGGAACACCUAUGUAUGUGAUCGUUCAUCCGACCGCUACUCAGCCAUCCCCAACGGCAAAGACAGCAGUCUGACGGAAGUUUCAGGCAGCGCUUCUUCUGCUUCAGGAACUGCAUCAGCUUCAGCGUCCACACGACCAAGACACGUCAAAUCCAUGUCCACCUCCGGCACCUCCUCCAAAACCGCCCUGCCCCCCAUAGAGGAUAACAGCGAAUACAAACCAACCUCUCAGAGUCCCAGACCUCCAUCCACCUCCCCCUCCACCCACAGCAUCAGCACCCCGGAGCGCACCCGCUUCCCCCGGGGAACCUCCAGCAGGAGCACCUUCCACGGAGCUCAGCUCCGAGACCGCCGCAGCACCACCUACAACGCCCCCCCCGCCUCGCCCACCCUCUCCCACGAUACGGGGGCUCUCGGCCCCGCCCGCAGGGGCACCUCCACCGGCAUCAUCAGCAAGAUCACCUCCAAGUUUGUACGCAGGAUUCCAAGUGAAGGAGAGGCCGGUGCCAAAACUGAGACCCCAAGAAGCACUUCGGGGGAGUCGAGGGAGGAGACUCGGGACUCUAAGCCUCGUUCUCUUCGCUUCACCUGGAGCAUGAAGACCACCUCGUCCAUGGAGCCGGGAGACAUGAUGCGGGAGAUCCGGAAGGUUCUGGAUGUUAAUAACUGUGAUUACGAGCAGCGCGAGCGCUUCCUGCUGUUCUGCGUUCACGGAGACGCCCGGCAGGAGAACCUGGUGCAGUGGGAGAUGGAGGUGUGUAAGCUGCCCCGUCUCUCGCUGAACGGCGUUCGCUUUAAGAGGAUCUCCGGCACGUCCAUCGCCUUCAAAAACAUCGCCUGCAAAAUCGCCAACGAGCUGAAGCUCUGAGAGCCCUGCAGGAACCCUGAGGAACCCCGGCGGGGUUCUGACUGGGACUGGGGGGAGGAUAGCUAGCGAUGACGGUCGAUCUGAGAUCAGUGAAUCGAUGAUAAAGGGCUGGAAGUUCAGUAUAAAUCAGACCGCAGGCCUGUUUUAAAGCUUCUGCAGGUAAACAUGAUGCUAAAAUCUGAUAACAUUUUGAGAAGUUGUGUUUUUCCUGCGUAUAAAACUGCUGUCCAGGACCGUCUGACUCCAUAUCUCUGGUGCACAAUAUUAAACUUACUUGAAUGAAGCGUAAACUGAUGGAUUUUUAGCUGCUGAUGAAGUGAAAUGUUAAUUGUGUGUGUGAUCAGGUGCUGGACACUGCUGUUAAUUUCUUCUUCUGUCUGUGAAAGUAAAACAUCCUCACAAAAUUUGCUCAGAAACGUGUUAUUCCUGUUAUUUUACUGAUUUUUAUUCCAGGAAUGUACAGCUGUGUGUGAAACCAGGUGAGCCAUAACAUUAAAACCUGAUUAAUAUCUGUCUGAUGUUGCCUAGGUGAAACUUUGGGUUGCCAAAUAGCCGCUGUGCUCAAAAGCUUUCUCUUCUGAGGGAUUAGAUCAGAUCAGAUUAGAAAUGUUCUUACCCAGUUAAAUCUCUGAUUUUUCGUUUAUCUGUUCGCAGGAUAAUUCUAGCCAGAAGCCGCCGGACACCAUUAUUACCAUCACUCACCCACUGCAUCCCCUGUGGGAGAUGUAUUCCUCAUACAGACAUGACAUAUGUUAUCUCACUUACAAGAAAACACCUCACAACUUAUACAACUUAUAACUCAGUUCUUAAAGGUGAUGUGUUGAGUUAGGAAAACUGAACAAGUGUAAGAUUCUGUCUGAGAGACUUUAAAGGAGAAAUCUGGUAAAACAUGAAAACAAGUAGCAACUUUUGUAGAGUAGCCGAUUGCUAGCGUUGUUAGCCUGCUAGUUUGGAGCAUCGGCUAAAGGCGUUAUCCUCCAGAGUGCUGGGGGUGAGCGGAGGCUAUACUUCCUGUGUAAAAUGGACUUGAGAUGUAGUGUAAUAUUGUAAACAUGUCUCUUGGUCACAUAAAUUCUGAGUAGAUUUCUGUGUUGUAAUUGUUGUAAUGUCAUUCUCUCAACAUCAGGGGGACCCCUGAGCCCGAGCUCUGGUAAUCACCUGUUAAUAGAAGAAGUGAGCAUUGUUACAGGUGUUAGUUUGUUUGUUGUUGACGAGCUGUUUGAGUAUUUUAAGUUCUUGUCUUUGGAAACCUGAGUGUUUCAGGAUUUAUUUGUUUGCGCUGCUGUAGUUCUGGGGUUUAAAUGGAGUCUUGAAUCACCGGUGAACUUUGACUCUUCACCCGGAGAUCAGUACUUUUUGGAUUAUUUGAUUUUAUAUUUUAUUUUUUUGUGCUGUUUUUUUUUUGUUUUGUUUAAACAGAGGCUCGUCUGGUUUAGAGACUAAACUAAAGAUUACAACUCUGCCUGAGAAUUGGUUGUAUGUUGAGGUGUAAAUAUAUAUUUUGUGCACGUUGUGAUUUGUGAGGUUUCAUUUGUGCAACACAGAGUCUCCUGAGAAAAUGUGAUUUCUUUUUUUUUUUUUUUUUUUUUUU